AGUUUUCCCGAUCUUUUUCUCCCACAAGGCAACGAGUUCAUUGAAUGAAUAUAUGUUCUUAGGAGGCUUGAUGUAAACGAUCUUGUUCAAUGUUCUCGGGUCAUCCACAGUCUUGAUGGUGUAGGUGCCAAUAUCUUCUUCAUAAUUGAAGACAGCUGCAAACAAAUAAGGCAGAGAGAGGGGGGGGGGGAACAAGAAGAUUAUAAAGAUGAGAUACGCACAAUUUCUUGAAGUAAUGUCAUUAAACAAGUGUGAAGUAAGUUACUGAAGUUUAUCCCUACCGCCACAUUGUUUGAUACAGCCUCAUAGCAUGCUAAAGGAAGGACAUAGGAUAUAAAGGCAAAUCAUCCUAGUUUAUGCUUACAAUAGAGAUACAACAGUUCAGUUAAUUCAGCACAAAACCUCAUUCAGAAAUCACAAGUGCAAAAUGUUCUACAAAACUACUAUACAUUCUCUAUUAAACACUUCUUAGGCCAAGUGUUUUUGAGUUUUCCCAGCAAAGUUUGUCGAACAGAAUAGGAAUACGGAUUGCUAAACGAGUUUUUGAAUUUGAUGUUAAGUACCUUUGGGGUUUCCAUCUCCUAGGAUGAUUACUUUGUCUCUUGGAGGAGCGGUGACUCCCGGCUGUACCAAUGUCGGAAGAGAGUAUCCAGCAAAGUAGUUGGACGAUACAUAG
rnacentral:lncRNA from 1 species